UACGUAGGGUGCAAGCGUUGUCCGGAUUUAUUGGGUUUAAAGGGUGCGUAGGCGGGUUUUUAAGUCUGGGUUUAAAGCCGGCCGCUUAACGGUAUCGGAUUGGCUUGGAUACUGGAAACCUUGAGUUACUUGGGGGCUGGCGGAAUUUGUGGUGUAGCGGUGAAAUGCUCAGAUACCACAAGGAACACCGAUCGCGUAGGCAGCCAGCCACGAGUCGACUGACGCUGAGGCACGAAAGUGCGGGGAGCAAACAGG
rnacentral:rRNA from 1 species